UGGCGCACGGGUGAGUAACACGUAGGUAAUGUGCCUUUGGGUGGGGAAUAACUUAGGGAAACUUAAGCUAAUACCGCAUAAUGCGAUAACUUCUUCGGAAGAUUUUGUUAAAGAUUUAUCGCCUAAAGAGCAGCCUGCGGCAGAUUAGCUAGUUGGUAAGGUAACGGCUUACCAAGGCUACGAUCUGUAUCCGACCUGAGAGGGUGGUCGGACACACUGACACUGAAUAACGGGUCAG
rnacentral:rRNA from 1 species